AUAAAUUAAUUGGUAGAUUAACUGCUUUGCAAGCAGUAGGUUGUUGGUUCAAGUCC
rnacentral:tRNA from 1 species